GACGAACGCUGGCGGCGUGCUUAACACAUGCAAGUCGAACGGAAAGGCCCUGCUUUUGCGGGGUGCUCGAGUGGCGAACGGGUGAGUAACACGUGAGUAACCUGCCCUUGACUUUGGGAUAACUUCAGGAAACUGGGGCUAAUACCGGAUAGGAGCUCCUGCUGCAUGGUGGGGGUUGGAAAGUUUCGGCGGUUGGGGAUGGACUGGCGGCUUAUCAGCUUGUUGGUCGGGUAGUGGCUUACCAAGGCUUCGACGGGUAGCCGGCCUGAGAGGUUGACCGGCCACAUUAGGCCUGAGAGACGGCCCAGACUCCUAUGGGAGGCAGCAGUGGGGAAUAUUGCAGAGUGGGCGGAAGCCUGAUGCAGCGGCGCCGCGUGCGGGAUGACGGCCUUCGGGUUGUAAACCGCUUUCGCCUGUGACGAAGCGUGAGUGACGGUAAUGGGUAAAGAAGCACCGGCUAACUACGUG
rnacentral:rRNA from 1 species